rnacentral:lncRNA from 1 species
UUACUUCCUUGCCUGCCACGACCACCUGCAGGGUCUCCUACAGAUCCAUCCUCUGCAAACUGGUUGCAUCCUUGCUGAAUGCAGGGGACUUCCGUUCCCGUUGCUAUGGAUAAAGGGCAAGCAUGAUUACACUCCUCCUCAACACAGCAGUCCAUGAGAAGGCAAAUCCGGAAUCUGCUACUCCAGCUUUCCCGACCUCCAUGCUUCUCGGUGGAGAUGGGCGUGUUGUUUAGGAACAGAUUCCAGCAGUCGCUCUCUGUUUUAUUUGUGAUCCCUGGGCAACCCCCCCCCCCCACCACCGCCAAUAAAAGAACUUAAGGUCUUGCCGAGGCCACAGGAAGAGCACCAGAGAACUGGAGGCAUACUUGCAGAAGCCAUCUUUGAUGUCCAGGUCAGUCAGACCCAGCUGACACCGGACUGCAACCUCAUCAGAGACUAGAAUUGCCCAGUGCGCCCCCCCCCCCAAGCCAACCCACCAGGUGAAACCGCUGCUUAACCAUAAAGUUUGGGGAAAGAUCAUUACAUAAUAAUAGGUUAACAAAAGAAGCCCCACACUGGACACUAGCAGAACACAGAGUCCUAGGGGUAGCUGAUUCACUUGGCAGGUAGGUUCUGGCCUGUUCUACCCCUUAGUUCCUGA